rnacentral:rRNA from 1 species
CUACGGGAUGCAGCAGUGAGGAAUAUUGCACAAUGGGGGGAACCCUGAUGCAGCAACGCCGCGUGGAGGAUGACGCAUUUCGGUGUGUAAACUCCUUUUAUAUGUCAAGAAAAUGACGGUAGCAUAUGAAUAAGCACCGGCUAACUCCGUGCCAGCAGCCGCGGUAAUACGGAGGGUGCAAGCGUGUACUCGGAAUCACUGGGCGCAAAGGACGCGUAGGCGGGUUGGAAAGUCAGGUGUGAAAUCCUACAGCUUAACUGUAGAACUGCACUUGAAACUUCUAAUCUAGAGUAUGGGAGGGGGAGAUGGAAUUAGUGGUGUAGGGGUAAAAUCCGUAGAUAUCACUAGGAAUACCUAAAGCGAAGGCGAUCUCCUGGAACAUUACUGACGCUAAGGCGUGAAAGCGUGGGGAGCAAACAGGAUUAGAUACCCCUGUAGUC